CAGUAGCCGCGGUAAUACAGAGGAUGCAAGCGUUAUCCGGAAUGAUUGGGCGUAAAGCGUCUGUAGGUGGCUUUUCAAGUCCGCCGUCAAAUCCCAGGGCUCAACCCUGGACAGGCGGUGGAAACUACCAAGCUGGAGUACGAUAGGGGCAGAGGGAAUUUCCGGUGGAGCGGUGAAAUGCGUUGAGAUCGGAAAGAACACCAACGGCGAGAGCACUCUGCUGGGCCGACACUGACACUGGGAGACGAAAGCUAUGGGAGCAAAUGGGAUUAGAUACCCCCGUAGUCCCUGUCUCUUAUAC
rnacentral:rRNA from 1 species